rnacentral:lncRNA from 1 species
AAUUUUAGGGUUAUUAAUUUCUUAAUUCUCUAACUAUUUCCCUUGAAUUUUUUUUACUUUGUUUUAUUGUUUAUUUUACACUUGCAAUAGAGUUUUUUGGCUUCAAUAGGAAAUGUCUUUGAUGCCCUUAUGACAUCAGCAAAACAUCAGUAAAUUUUUAACUUUUUUAACGGAAUGGUGGUAAAUUGAUAACAGCGCAAACGUUUGGUGCUAAAAUGCUAUGUUCGACAAACCGUGGUACUGACAUGAUAUGUCAAAAUAACUUUAGUGGUAAAAUGAUAAUAUCCCUUUUUUAAAUUUAAUAUAUAAGUGUAUAAAUAAAUAAGUAUUUAAAAUAUUAUCUAAAGCAUAAAUAACCUCAUCGUCAGUUAGAUCGAAUUAUAGUGAUUUGAUUUAGGUCGAAUUAUAGUGAUUUGAUUAGUUAUAAUAAAUCAUAUAGGUCGACCAAUAAAAUUAUACUAAAGUAAAUGACCAAAACUUAUACAAUUGAGAUAUUAACAAAAGAUAUCUUCACAUAAAAUGCAUGUAACGAAUUUGAGCUCCAUUCACCUAUUGGAUCUUUUUUUAAAUACUCUCCACCAUUAUUAGAAUUGGUCUUACCAUUUGGUUUCUUCAUUCACCUUGUUGAAUUAAAAUCUUAGUUCAGCCACUACGUCAUAUUGAAAGAGUUAAUACCUAUAUAAUCAUUGAAAAAAAUAAUAA